ensembl:snoRNA small nucleolar RNA, C/D box 111B
CAGCCUGAAGUGAUGAUUCACAUUCAUGUCUCUUCUCUGAUAAAUUUUGAAGAAAAUUCUGUGUGUCUGAGCAGGCAU